rnacentral:rRNA from 1 species
GAUGAACGCUGGCGGCGUGCCUAAUACAUGCAAGUCGAGCGAACAGACGAGGAGCUUGCUCCUCUGACGUUAGCGGCGGACGGGUGAGUAACACGUGGAUAACCUACCUAUAAGACUGGGAUAACUUCGGGAAACCGGAGCUAAUACCGGAUAAUAUAUUGAACCGCAUGGUUCAAUAGUGAAAGACGGUUUUGCUGUCACUUAUAGAUGGAUCCGCGCCGCAUUAGCUAGUUGGUAAGGUAACGGCUUACCAAGGCAACGAUGCGUAGCCGACCUGAGAGGGUGAUCGGCCACACUGGAACUGAGACACGGUCCAGACUCCUACGGGAGGCAGCAGUAGGGAAUCUUCCGCAAUGGGUGAAAGCCUGACGGAGCAACGCCGCGUGAGUGAUGAAGGUCUUCGGAUCGUAAAACUCUGUUAUUAGGGAAGAACAAAUGUGUAAGUAACUAUGCACGUCUUGACGGUACAUAAUCAGAAAGCCACGGCUAACUACGUG